GCCCGCGCCCCUCCCUCCCACACCUCCCUGCAAGCUGAGGGAGCCGGCUCCGGCCUUGGCCAGCCCAGCAAGGGGCUCCCACAGUGCAGCGGUGGGCUGAAGUGCUCCUCAAGUGCCACCAAAGUGGGAGCCCCGGCAGAGGAGGCGCCGAGAGCGAGCGAGGGCUGUGACGACUGCCAGCACGCUGUCACCUCUCAAAAGCAAGAAAAUUCAAAAUUGGCCGGGCGCGGUGGCUCACGCGGGUAAUCCCGGCACUUUGAGAGUCUGAAGCCGGCGGAUCACUUGACGUCAGGCGUUCGAGACCAGCUUGGCCAACAUGGUGAAACCCCGUCUCUACUAAAAAUACAAAAAUUAGCCGGGCGUGGUGGUGCGCGCCUGUAAUCCCAGCUACCCGGGACGCUGAGGCAGGAGAAUUGCUUGAACCCGGGAGGCAGAAGCUGCAGUGAGCGGAGAUCGAGCCACAGCAUUCCAGCCUGGGCGACAGAGUGAGACUCGGAAAAAAAAAAAAAAGGAAAAAAAGAAGAAAGAAAGAAAGAAAAAAGAGAAAAGAAAAAGAAAGGAAAGAAAGAAAGAGAUCCAAAAUUAUAGAAAAACAUAAAGAAAAUAAAUACUUCCUAUAUUCCUCCUCCUCAGGGAAAACCACUGUGUUUACUUUAGUAGUUUUACUUUCUGUCAGCAUAUAGAAAUAUAAAACAUGUUUUGUAUAUUUAAUAUUGAACAGGAAAUAAUCCUAUUGUAUAUAUUAUUUUAAACUAGCAGCAAUAAUAGUUUGAGUAUUCUUUCAUAUACAUAAAUGUUCUUCAUUAUUUUUUAAUGUUGGGAUAGCAUUUCAUCAUGUAGGAGCAUUAUAUUUAUUUAACUAAAUCUUUGGUUUUGGACAAUUAGGUAGCUUCUGAUUUUUCACUACUAGAAAUAUCCCUUUGAUAAACAUUUUUGUGGUUAUGUCUUGCACAUCCAAGAUUAUUUCUUUAAAAUCUCCCUCCCUCCCCAGUAAGUAUUGUCAAGCUGCUUUCCAAAGGGUAAAGGAAACCAGUUUACACCAUCACCAGCAGUCGUUCUGGUCAUAUAUUUCCCAAUAUUUUUCCCUGAAAAAUCAUUUACAUUUUAAUUUCAGUUAUAAUACAUUUUCAUGUGCAAAAUCUAAUCAAAUUAUGAAAAUUGACAGCAAGCUUAAAAAUAUCAUUUCUAUAUUAGUAUCAUACAAUUUUUAAGUAGUUGAAUACUGACUAUAGCACCUAACAGUUCAAUGGCAUUUUAGCCUUUUUAAAAAGUUUUAUCCAAUCCCUACAAUUAUGUGAAAUGUGCAGCUGAUGUAUUCCCCUUUCCAGAGGAAGAAAUUGAAAUUAUGUUGAAAAAGCAACGCAAAACACGGAUAACUGAUAGUUUUAUUUUACACAUAUUUAUGUAACUAUCCAAGAUGAAUGUAGCCUACAGAGUUAAAAUUUUGAUAAUUAGCUAAAGGUUUGAAUACAGGAGUAUAUCUUUAAUAUGCUUCCAUAGCACCCUACGUUUUUCCUAUUAUAACAUUCAUCACACCAUGUCAAUUCAUCUUGUUGUUUGUUUUACAAAUAGACCACGAAUUCCACAAGGCCAGUUGCCAUGCGGAAUUUGCUGAGUAUUUUAACUCUGGUGUCCACCAUAGUAGUAGGUGCUUACUUAUAACUUGUGAAAUGAAAUUUUUAAAAGGCUUUCCAAAAACAAAUACAAAUAAGAUAUAUUACGUAGAAAUAGACAUGUCGUGUAGAAACGCGGCUUUAUGCCAAUACUGGAAGUUUGAAGACAUAGUGUUUCUAGUUCUAAUAAUCAUCAUGAGUAUUUAAUACAUGCCUAUGGUGUACUAGGGAGCCAGAUAAUGUUUUAAGUUUGUUUUCAUGUACUAACUAAUUUAACAUCUAACUAAUUUUAGCUGAAUUUUGAACGAGUUCUGAUAAAAUAGCUAGUCAGCCCGCGCGUGGCAGAGAUGAAACUCGGGCGGUCUGGCCCCCGUGCUUUGGGUCUCAGCAGCUCCACGCUCCACAUAGAUGUUUUGUAGGAUCCUUAAAACAGAAGUGCAGUAAUCUCGUAUAACCACUAGAUGGCACUGCAACUUUUGUAACAGGGGACUUAGCCGGGGGCAGGAGGGGUUCUUGAGACAAACCCAUUUUUUAUAUUUGUCAUUGGUCACUUGCAAGUAGAGUCAUACUUUAAAUAAUAACAUUAUUCCCUUUAAGAAUUG
rnacentral:lncRNA from 1 species